rnacentral:rRNA from 1 species
GCGCGCCCCGGGCGGGGCGGGGGCACGGGGGGAACGCGAAGAACCUUACCAAGGCUUGACAUACACCGGAAAGCAUCAGAGAUAGUGCCCCCCUUGUGGUCGGUGUACAGGUGGUGCAUGGCUGUCGUCAGCUCGUGUYGWGAGRUGUUGGGUUAAGUCCCGCAACGAGCGCAACCCUUGUCCCGUGUUGCCAGCAGGCCCUUGUGGUGCUGGGGACUCACGGGAGACCGCCGGGGUCAACUCGGAGGAAGGUGGGGACGACGUCAAGUCAUCAUGCCCCUUAUGUCUUGGGCUGCACACGUGCUACAAUGGCCGGUACAAUGAGCUGCGAUACCGCGAGGUGGAGCGAAUCUCAAAAAGCCGGUCUMAGUUCGGAUUGGGGUCUGCAACUCGACCCCAUGAAGUCGGAGUCGCUAGUAAUCGCAGAUCAGCAUUGCUGCGGUGAAUACGUUCCCGGGUCUUGUACACMCCG